ACCAAAUACGAUGGUCAGCUUUAGAACCCGGUUGAGAGAAUCAGAUAGAGAUAACGCUGAGAGACAGACAGAGAGCGAUGACGAACCUUCUCGCCGGCGUCAAUAACACUUGACGACAACGAGUUCAUCAUUGUGGUGGCGGCGAACAUGGUUUUUACCGGAGAGUGACGAGGUAUGUUCGAUCAGUUGCUGCCACAGCUCUGACAAUGACGGCGGUCAAGCGGUUAGGGUUUCGAUCAACUUCCGUAACGUCUGCUGAGGUUCCGGUGAACGGCCAGGAGAAGAUUUCAAUGAACGGGUAAGCACACAACCCUAAUUAUGCGUAUUGCUUCAGUGUGACGUUGAUGAUGUUGUGACGGUGUGGCUGUUAGGGUUUGUUUGCCCUAAUAAGUCGUUCUCGAACCCUAGCUGGAGAUAAGAACCGAUGAUGGACCAAUGAAGAUUGAUAAGGUUUAGUUGGUAAGAGUGGGUCGAAAUGGAAGUUAUGGAGGAGUUCUUCGGUGGAAAUCGAUUCGGGAUGGAAAGGGUUUAAAGGGAAGUACAGGGGAGUGGGAUCGGAUGGGUCGCAUUCGAGAUAAAAUCUCCCGUGCAGAAGAGGCAACAGGUUGAAUGGGAAGUUGCAUGUUCUAUGUAUAUGGCAUUGAUUUGAUCUUUGAAUCAAUGAUGAUUUGCAGUUGUUCUCAUUUUUUUGUUGUUGAAAAGGAAUUUUACAUUCUAUUUUUGAUAUGUUUGUAGCCACCAGGAACAAUAUAUGCUUUGAAGAUUCUGAGCUUCAACAGCUAAUGCAGGAAUGAACAUGUAUGUACUGCUUUAAUGUUUUUUUAGUUCUCAACUUUGUUAGAGGUGAAGUGGAAUUUAGAAGACGCAAGUGGUGCCGGUUCGAGGACGGCACCCACUUUUUUACUUCUUUUUGUUUUUUCUACUUCCCUGAUACACGACAGAGAAAGAUAAGGAUAUCAAGAUCACUGCUUUCUGUUGUCUGCCUUCUUUCAAUACUAGAAAAGCCCCAAACUACUCUAUAUAUUUGUUGCCUUUUCCCGAGUUAUUGAUUUUGCUUAUUAAUUACAAGAUAUCGCCCAUACCGAUCCGCUACAUUUGGUUUUCACCAGCAUUUUAGGUAGGUUUUUAUUUCUGGAAAUUGUGGGACACAUGUUUUAGGGUAUAUAUUCCUCUUCUAAACUUGCCACAUAUAUUCAACCUAUGUGCUAGCUACCAUUGUUCAUGGAAUAACGCCGAUAGUUUGGACAAGACAGGGGGUUACGGACAAAGGAGGAAAGGUGAAAAGAAGAGUAAGAACGAUUGAGGAAGUUGAACACAAAUGUUUUUUCGCCUCUCAAGCACCUGUAGGUAUUUGUUUUGUUUUUACCUUUGCAGUUUUUAUGAGUUGGGAGCUGAAUUAAUUAUAGGAAGUGUUUUCUUCGUGCUGGAUAUGUGCUACGUGAGUUUGUAAUGGUUUCUAAGAGGCAUGAUCUUUUUAAUCGAAUUUCCAUGUCAGAGUUUGUCCAAGUCAUAUUUUGGUUUAUUAUAUGUUUGGAGGCUCUUUACCCGGUCAUAGCUAGAUGAUUCCUUAAAUCUUUACCAAAUGGUGGGGGAAAAACCAAGUGAAGCCUAUAAAUAUUCACUGUAAGUAUUUUAGAGGUGUUUAUGAUUUUUGAGUCCUGGUCCUGUUAUAAAUAGUUUAGUUCAGUGUGCUUUUUUUAAGCUUAUGAAGUUUUUUUUAAAGCUUAUAAAAUGGUGUUACAUGUCUAUAUUCAUAAUCAUUAUAAAAGCUUAUAGUAUGUUACAUAAAUAGUCCAAAUGAAAUAAUGUUAUUAUCUUCUAUUAAUAUAUUUGCUCCUAAAACAUUGCUUAAAAUUGUUGUUUUGUUAACCCAAGUACCCAGAGUAACAAAUAAAUAAGCCAGCUUAACUACGUUUGGUUGACUUGAAAUUUUUGCUGAUGGUCUCACUUUUCUUAAAAAUUAGCUUCAUAGAAUCUAAAUAUUAUAAUCACGUGAGUAGUUUCAGUCUCUUUUCUUUUUAACUAUUUCCUACUUUUGCUGGUUUGAAAUGUUAGGAAGCCCAAAGUCCACAUUUAACUUCAAGUUCACCAUAGUUAAAGGCCUUUAGGGUUUUAAGUUAAAGACAAUAAUUUGGCUAUUUUGUUCCACUGAAUAUUGUUAUAUUUCAAAGGCGAACAUUUUAAACUUAAAAUCAAAUGGUUAAGUUUUUAGAUGAACCAUGGUCAAGUUACAUCAAGUGUAGAAUAGUGGAGUUUGAGGUCUUUGAAUGACUUGGUCAAUGACAUGUAGUAUGAACUCAUUUAAAUUAGUUUCAACACUUCGUUUAUUUGGGUUGAUGUUGUUCUUGAUUAAUUGGUUGUUUCAAUUCUCUAUGCUUGAAGGCACAUAAAUUUUAACAUCUUAUUUACAAAAUAUUUUAAUAAAUCACAUUAUUAAAUGCAGGUCCUUCCUGAAACUAUGGUGUUGAAGAAAGGACGACAUGAUGACACAACUAACUAAAGCACCGACAACGCUGUCGAAGAAAGGAAGCUGCAUCCAAGAUCCGCUUAUUGUUUAAUGUAAAAGACUUGAUAUGUAAACACCAAAACUACUUAACUGGACCAUGGGGAAAGUCCUUUUGAUAACAAGUUUCUAAUGUUCCGCCGCUGUAAGGAAAACACAAACGUCUCUCGCGCAAUGCGCGACAUCGAAAACACACUAGUUUGAUUAAAGAUAAAAGAUUAUGUAAUUAAUUUUUCAAAAAAACUAAUUUACCUUUUG